GACGAACGCUGGCGGCGUGCCUAAUACAUGCAAGUCGAGCGGUGAAGGUUGGUACUUGUACGGACUGGGUGAGGAGCGAACGGGUGAGUCACGCGAGUGGACUCUGCCUUUGAGCGGGGGACAACAUUUGGAAACGAAUGAUAAUACCGCAUAAGAACUUUAAACAUGAGGUUUAUGGGUGAAAGAUGCAAUUGCAUCACUCAAAGAUGAUUCCUCGUUGUUUUAGGUAGUUGGUGAGGUAAAGGCUCAUCAAGGCGAUGAUACAUAGCCGGGCUGAGAGGGAGGACGGCCAACAUGGGACUGAGACCCGGCCCAAACUCCCUCGGGAGGCAACAAGAGGGGAACUUCGGCAAUUGGCGGAAGGCAUACCGCACCACGCCGCGGGGGUGGAGAAGGUUCUCGGGUCGGAAAAGUCUGUUUGUAGGGAAGAACGGGGGUUAGGGUGGAAAGCUGAUCAAGUGACGGUAACGACCCAAAAAGCAACGGCUAACUACGUG
rnacentral:rRNA from 1 species